UGUAGGAGUGAGCCUGCUCGCGAUAGCGGUUUGUCAGUCGACUCAUCGGGCUCUGACAGACUGCUAUCGCGAGCAGGCUCACUCCUACA
rnacentral:misc_RNA from 1 species